rnacentral:rRNA from 1 species
UACAGAGGUCCCAAGCGUUGUUCGGAUUCACUGGGCGUAAAGGGUGUGUAGGUGGCGAGGUAAGUCGGAUGUGAAAGCUCGGAGCUCAACUCCGAAAUGGCAUUGGAAACUACCUUGCUCGAGGGUUGGAGGGGGGACUGGAAUUCUCGGUGUAGCAGUGAAAUGCGUAGAUAUCGAGAGGAACACCAGUGGCGAAGGCGAGUCCCUGGACAACUCCUGACACUGAGGCACGAAAGCUAGGGGAGCAAACAGG